rnacentral:rRNA from 1 species
GACGAACGCUGGCGGCGUGCUUAAUACAUGCAAGUCGAACGGACAGGCCCUGCUUUUGUGGGGUGCUCGAGUGGCGAACGGGUGAGUAACACGUGAGUAACCUGCCCUUGACUUUGGGAUAACUUCAGGAAACUGGGGCUAAUACCGGAUAGGAGCUCCUGCUGCAUGGUGGUGGUUGGAAAGUUUCGGCGGUUGGGGAUGGACUCGCUGCAUAUCAGCUUGUUGGUGUGGUAGUGGCUUACCAAGGCUUUGACGGAUAGCCGACCUGAGAGGGUUAACGGCCACAAGAGGACUGAGAGAGGGCCCAGAAUCGUACGGGAGGCAGCAGUGGGGAAUAUGGCACAAUGGGCGGAAGCCUGAUGCGGCAACGCCGCGUGCGGGAUAACGGCCUUCGGGUUGUAAACCGCUGUCGAAGGUGACGAAGAGUGAGUGACGGUAAUGGGUAAAGAAGCACCGGCUAACUACGUG